UAAUACCGGAUAGAUCAAAGAAACUGGAAUGUUCUCUGAUCGAAAGCUCCGGCGCCCAAGGAUGGGUCUGCGGCCUAUCAGGUAGUAGUGGGUGUAACGUACCUACUAGCCUACGACGGGUAAGGGUUGUGAGAGCAAGAGCCCUGAGAUGGAUCCUGAGACAUGAAUCCAGGCCCUACGGGGUGCAGCAGGCGCGAAAACUUUACACUGCGGGAAACCGCGAUAAGGGGACCCCGAGUGCCAGCACCUAGUGCUGGCUGUCCAGCUGUUCAAAUAACAGUUGUUAGCAAGGGCCGGGCAAGACCGGUGCCAGCCGCCGCGGUAACACCGGCGGCCCGAGUGGUAGCCGUUAUUAUUGGGUUUAAAGGGUCCGUAGCCGGCCUAUUAAGUCUCUUGGGAAAUCUGGCGACUCAAUCGUCAGGCGUUC
rnacentral:rRNA from 1 species